rnacentral:rRNA from 1 species
GACGAACGCUGGCGGCGUGCUUAACACAUGCAAGUCGAACGGAAAGGCCCUGCUUUUGUGGGGUGCUCGAGUGGCGAACGGGUGAGUAACACGUGAGUAACCUGCCCUUGACUUUGGGAUAACUUCAGGAAACUGGGGCUAAUACCGGAUAGGAGCUCCUGCUGCAUGGUGGGGGUUGGAAAGUUUCGGCGGUUGGGGAUGGACUCGCGGCUUAUCAGCUUGUUGGUGGGGUAGUGGAUUACCAAGGCUUUGACGGGUAGCCGGCCUGAGGGGGUGACCGGCCACAUUGGGACUGGGAUACGGCCCAGACUCCUACGGGAGGCAGCAGUGGGGAAUAUUGCACAAUGGGCGGAAGCCAGAUGCAGCAACGCCGCGUGCGGGAUGACGGCCUUCGGGUUGUAAACCGCUUUCGCCUGUGACGAAGCGUGAGUGACGGUAAUGGGUAAAGAAGCACCGGCUAACUACGUG